rnacentral:ncRNA from 1 species
AGAUUAUUAACAAAGUUUCAGUGGCGGAGAGAACAGGCAGAUAGUAAAGAUGCCGUCAAUCCAUCCAUGGAGGCUUGAGCCGCGCCAUUAGUGGCGCGGAUGCUUU